CCGGAAAUGCUCCCCGCCGCCCCCGACACUCACUCGCCCCAGGCCCCAUCCUAGCCCAGGGUCAGUGUCAUUCCCUUCACCUUAGCCUCUCACUGCCCAAAGAGGCUUACUUUUCUUCUUUAAACUGCUGUUAAAAUUUGGGAGGAAACGGAAAGCAAGGGCACCUGAUGGUUCAGUGCAGCUUCAGGUUAGAGGGGCAUUUGAGGUGCCUGAGCUGGGGGAGGGCCUUCCCCCUGAGGGACUGGGAGAAGGGUAAGCCAUGUGCCCUGGAAGCACUGCAGGGAGCCUCAGAUUUGCACCCCCUGGCUCACACUCGCUGGCGCCAGCCAGCAUGGCAGGGAUGGGCGGGGCUGGUUCUUAGGUUUCCUGCUCUUUGGGUGCUAGCACCCAGGGUAAGGAGACACCCAUGUCCGGUUGCAAGACAAACCCUUCUACCUCCUUUCCUGCCAAAGGCCACCAGCAUCCUCUGCCUCAAUCUCAAUCUUUGGAACUUUUUAGCUCCAAAGUGGUUUGAUGACCACAGGCUAAAAUUCAUAGUCUUAAAAUUUUAGAUAGUUAAGAGACAGAUCUGUUACAGGUUUUCAAAUAAACUGGUCUAUCUAGUGUAAGAGGUCACUGCUGAGCUUCAGUGAGCACCCAUGGGCCUGCUCUUGGAUGGUGGGACAGCUCUCACCUGGGGCAGCACGGCCAUCCCUGCAAGCACACACACCAGG
rnacentral:lncRNA from 1 species